rnacentral:lncRNA from 1 species
UUCUUAUAGUACUAAUUUUAAAAAUUAUAAUAUGCUAUCUACUCUUAUUAUUUUAUAAUGACUCAUCUUGUUAAAAUCUUUUAGACUCCGUUCUAUGUACACAAUACUUAGUCUGAAGCUUACACAUAACAGGUGCUCAAUAAUUGUUUUUAUUUGUUUUCAGAUGGGGUCUCGUUCUGUUGCUCAGGCUGGAGUGUAAGAUUAGUGCUCACUGCAGCCUCAACCUUUCAGGCUCAAGUGAUCCUCCCACCUCAGCCUCCUGAGUAGCUAGGACUACAGGCAUGCACCACCACAGAUUAUUUUUAAAUUUUUUUUGUAGAGACAAGGUUUUGCUUUGUUGCCCAGGCUAGACUUGAACGUCUGGGCUCAAGAGGUCUUCCUGCCUCCAUCUUCCAAAUUGCUGGGAUUACAGGCAUGUGUUACUGCCACUGUGCCUGGCCCUCAGUAUAACUGUUUGUAACAUUUGCUGAACACUUAGUCUGUGCAUAGAAUUACAAAGUCAUAUAAGGAAAACUUGAAAAAAAAUUUCGGAAGAAAUGACUUCACUUUUUGAGCGUCUUAUAAAUGUACAAAUAGACAAUAAGAAAACUUACUACAAGCAAAUAAGCAAGUAUUUCCUAUAGUAGUACAAAUAUCUUUAUAGAAUACUAAAUUCUUUUCAAAAAUGCAAAAAAGGGGCCAGGAACAGUGGCUCAUGCCUGUAAUCCCAGCAGUCUGGGAGGCUGAGGCUGGUGCAUCACCUGAGGUCGGGAGUUUGAGACCAGCCUGGCCAACAUGGUGAAACCCUGUCUCUAUUAAAAAUACCAAAAAUUAGCUGGUGUGGUGGUGUGUGCCUGUAAUCCCAGCUACUCUGGAGGCUGAGACACGAGAAUCACUUGAACCCAGCAAGCCAAAGUUGCAGUGAGCCAAGAUCACAUCACUGCACUCCAGCCUGGGAGAUGAAGUGACACUCUGUCUCCAAAAAAAUAAAAAGGUUAAAAAAGUUUUUAUAAGAGUAAAGUGCAGAUGUGAUUGGAGAUUAGAAGAAAGACAAAUGGCCAGAUUGUGAUCAGAGAGGUGAGAAUGCUAUGGUAAGGAUCUCAGAUACGUUACAUUCAAGUCAAAGAUAUUUUUUGAACUUCAGUGGUGAUGGUCAUUUCACCAGAUGCUGUGGGUGGUACAAAAAUGAGUAAGAUGUAGCUUCUAUUCUAAUGGAAUUUCCAGUCCAUGGGCCUUUAUGGGCUUUAUGAUGGGCUUUAUGAUGAGGAUGUUCAAAAGUAUUUUUGAAGCAGGUUUGUGAAGUG